UAGGGAAUAUUAGUAAUGGGCGAAAGCCUGAACUAGCAACGCCGCGUGUGCGAAGAAGGCCUUCGGGUUGUAAAGCACUUUUUGAGAGGAUGAGGAAGGACGGUACUCUCAGAAUAAGUCUCGGCUAACUACGUGCCAGCAGCCGCGGUAACACGUAGGAGGCAAACGUUAUCCGGGUUUACUGGGCGUAAAGCGCGUGUAGGUGGUUUGGUAAGUAGGGCGUGAAAGCUCCUGGCUCAACUGGGAGAGGCCGUUCUAAACUGCCGAACUAGAGGAUGGUAGAGGGAGGUGGAAUUCCGGGUGUAGCGGUGGAAUGCGCGGAUAUCCGGAGGAACACCAGUGGCGAAAGCGGCCUCCUGGACCAUUCCUGACACUCAGACGCGAAAGCUAGGGUAGCAAACGG
rnacentral:rRNA from 1 species